UACGUAGGGUGCAAGCGUUAUCCGGAAUUAUUGGGCGUAAAGAGCUCGUAGGCGGUUUGUCGCGUCUGCUAUGAAAACUGGGGGCUCAACCCCCAGCCUGCAGUGGGUACGGGCAGACUAGAGUGCGGUAGGGGAGAUUGGAAUUCCUGGUGUAGCGGUGGAAUGCGCAGAUAUCAGGAGGAACACCGAUGGCGAAGGCAGAUCUCUGGGCCGUAACUGACGCUGAGGAGCGAAAGCGUGGGGAGCGAACAGG
rnacentral:rRNA from 1 species